AUUAAAAAAAAAUUUGAACACAAAUUAUGGAUAUAAUGUUUGACAUGUUUGCUAUUUUUGGAAUGGGAUUAUACUCUUAUUUCUGCAUAGAGGAGAACAAAAAGAAACAAUUAUUAAGUGAUCUUCCUUUGCCUUCUCAGGUCAAAGACAAAGAUAGCUCACCCCAUUUGGUUGGAAAAAACAUGGGUAAUCAACAAGAGGAAAAUCAUGAGCAUAAAAUAUUAAGCAAGGAUUCUAUUGUUUAAAAUAUGUCUUUUAUUGCAUACUUUGGGGGUUCUAUGGAACUUGCAAUGAGUGUAAAUCAAGUUUUGUUAAAUUUAUGUAACUUUAAGUCAGUGCAUUAUAUCUUUACCAAACUUAAUGGAUAUACUUAAGUGAUCAAAAUACAAGAAAUAUAGCUUCCAUGAAAUCAUAA